AUUUGAAAAGUGAUUUUGGCUUUAUUUUUCUAUUGAAUAUACAUUUAAAUGCAAAUUUUAGUGUGAAAAAAGUGAUAUAAAUAAUUUUUUUGGGAAAAAUCGCAGUAAAUAGGAUUAUUUAUUUAAGUAAUUAAGAAAUAGUUAUUAUUUUAAGUACAGACAAAAUUUGUGCCAGCAGUCGCGGUUACACAAAUUGUAUUAUAGAAAAUUUUUAGUACUAGUUAAUAUUAGGUAUAUGUAUAUAAAUUUAUAUAAAAUUUUAUUAAGUGAAAUUUCUAAAAUUUUAAAAAUUUAUAUUUAAAUUAUUAAACUAAAAAAUUUUAUUUAAAAACUAGGAUUAGAUACCCUAUUAUUGAGAAAAUAAGUUUUAGUGCUAAAUUAGUAUCAGAUAUUAUCUUGAAAAUUAAAAUAGUUGGCGGUAUCUUAGUCUAUUCAGAGGAACCUGUUCUGUAAUUGAUAAUCCACGAUUAAAUUUACUUAUAUUAAAUAAUUUACAUAUCGUCGUAGAUUGAAUAUUUUUAAAGAAUAAAUUAAUAUUCAAGAAUUUUAUAAAGAAAGAAUUCAGAUCAAGGUGUAGUUUACAUAUAAGAAGAAAUGGGUUACAAUAAAUUUAUUUAAACAGAUUAAUUUGGUAUAAAAUUUAUGAAGGUGGAUUUGAAAGUAAUUUUAAAAAUAUAUUUAGAAUGAUUUUAGCUCUAAGAUAUGUACAUAUCGCCCGUCGCUUUCGCUCUAAGGUGAAAUAAGUCGUAACAAAGUAGGUGUACCGGAAGGUGCCCCUGGAAAU
rnacentral:ncRNA from 1 species